AGUGAACGCUGGCGGUAGGCCUAACACAUGCAAGUCGAACGGCAGCACAGGAGAGCUUGCUCUCUGGGUGGCGAGUGGCGGACGGGUGAGGAAUACAUCGGAAUCUACUUUUUCGGGGGGGAUAACGUAGGGAAACUUACGCUAAUACCGCAUACGACCUACGGGUGAAAGCAGGGGACCUUCGGGCCUUGCGCGCGUGAAUGAGCCGAUGUGGGGUUAGCUAGUUGGCGGGGUAAAGGCCCACCAAGGCGACGAUCCGUAGCUGGUCUGAGAGGAUGAUCAGCCACACUGGAACUGAGACACGGUCCAGACUCCUCCGGGAGGCAGCAGUGGGGAAUAUUGGACAAUGGGCGCAAGCCUGAUCCAGCCAUACCGCGUGGGUGAAGAAGGCCUUCGGGUUGUAAAGCCCUUUUGUUGGGAAAGAAAUCCAGCUGGCUAAUACCCGGUUGGGAUGACGGUACCCAAAGAAUAAGCACCGGCUAACUUCGUGCCAGCAGCCGCCGUAA
rnacentral:rRNA from 1 species